rnacentral:tRNA from 1 species
GUGGGUAUAGCUCAGUGGUAGAGCACAUGCUUAGCAUGCACAUUCUAGGUUCAAUCUCCAGUACCUCUA